rnacentral:lncRNA from 1 species
CCUAACUAGAAAUUAUUUUCAGUAUUUAGGUAUUUUAUUUAAUUUAUUGAUUUGAUUUUUAUAUAUUUUACUGGCAUUUUUGAUUUGUUGGUGUGUCGCUAAUAUUUUCUCCAUAUGUAUCUUUGUCUUACAAACUUUAGAUUAUAUUUUAUAUUUGUUAUUUUUGAUAUUUGGGUUGUUUGGUAAGACAGGCACACACCACAAAGCAAUAUCGGUCCACAACAUUAGCUUCUAUACAUGAUACGUUGAAUUCGCAUGGUUUGGAUGACCAUCUGUAAUCAUCCGAACCAUGUUUUUUUUUUUUUUUUUUUUUUUUAUAUAUUUAAAUCUUGUUAUUGAAUUUGCCAUAUUGGAAAGAUGUUGUGGUUUAAUUUGUUAUUAGGUUACUCUAUUGACAUUUGUCUCCAAUAUCUUAAAUACUUUAUAAUAAUUCAGACCCUUAUUUCCUAUACAGUAUGAUUCUGGAAUUAGUUUGGAAUUUUGAUGUAAGUAUGUAUGAAUUCUUGAGUCUUUCAUAUUUCUUCUUAGAAACUACUUAGUCUGUUGAUGCUCAAAGUUGGUGAAUACGUGGGUUCGAAGUUCAGCAAGGCGCCAUUGCUAUCCGAUUUCGCAAUCUAUGUCUUUCAUUGCAGAGUAGACAGAUGUUUAUCUAUCAUAAUAUUUCUGGUCAGGAAAUGCCUGCAGCAUGUCCUAACUAUUCUUGUCUAAUUAGUCCAAUUAUUCCAGUUACAUAUUUACAAUUUGAUAGGGAAGUAUUUAGUUUAUAUUUUAUCUCGUACUUCAUAGUAUGUUUGUUGUUGACUAUCCCUAUACGCAGUAGGUUGUUAAGUCAGUAUUUGGAGUGUUUAGACAAAUGAGUUGUUCAUCAGAGUAUAUUCCCACUUCUUUCCUUAGGCAUUAGUUGCUAUUCAGAUUCUGGAAUAUUUCCUGAAUAAUUCCAUGUAUGUGAGAACGCAUGAAUUUGCAGUUUUAUUUAAAAUUGUGCUCGUUCUCGUCAAUUUUUUUCCCUAUCACUUAUCAUAUUUUUUUUUCUUCCUAUUAUUUAUCAUAGUGCCAUAGACCUUGUAAGUUCACCAUUCAUUCUGUUUUCUUUCUUACUUAUUCUUAUAUUAGUACCUUAUCUGAGUCUGGUUAUUCUCAUACAUCUGUUGUAGCAACAUGCUAUAGUUCGCGAAUACCAGCACGAAUUAAGUUUAUGUAGUUUCUAUAAUAUUUUAGUCAAUACACUGUAGGUAUUUAUCAUACCUUUGAUUUAGUUUGGUUACAUCUCUGUUACUUAAUCUGUUAGUAAUUUUUUAUUCUGACUUAUUUUGAUUACUUAGUUUGGAUAGGUUCAUAUUACCGGAUGAGGGUGUAUGUAGACCUAAUUUAUUUAUUUUGUUCAGUAUUAGUUACCAUUGGAUCCAAUAAUUUAGUUUAUUUAGUAUUAGUAAGAAUUGGUCCAUAAAUUUGCCUGAUCGUUCUUCUUUGGAUAUACUCUUAUAUAAAUCUGGUGUCCAUUGAUAGUCCGAUUCUGGAUAAGUGUCCGAUUCUUCAUUUAUUUUGUGUAUUCGGUUGGAUAGGUUCGUAUUACCGGAUGUGGGUGUACGUAGACCUGAUCUGUUUAUGUGGUUUAGUAUUGGUGUGAAUUGGUCCAUAAAUUUGCCUGGUCGUUCUUCUUUGGAUAUGCCUUUUAUGAAUCUGGUGUCCACUGAUAGUUCGACUUUGGAUUAAGUGUCCGAUUCCACAUCUAUUUUGGUUAUUGAGUUUUGGAUUCCUUUGGUAUGUUUAUUAUUGGUAUUAUUUGGCAUUAGUGAGAGUUGUUCCAUAAAUCUUCCUGAUUGUUCUUCUCUGGAUAUACUAUUAUGAAUCUGGUGUCCAUUGUUAGUUCAAUUUUGGAUUAAGUGUUCAAUUCUUUACUUAUUUUAGUUACUGUUUUUUUUAUUCACUUUGAUAUAUUUACUUGUGAUAUGGUUCGAAUUGGCUCACACCUUUUCCUGGUUGUUCCGUCCUUGGAUAUAUCCUUUAUAAAUCUGAUGUCCAUGGAUAGUUCAAUUUUGGUUUGGUGCCCAAUUCGACACUUAGUAUUAUUAUGAACUUUAGUGCAAUAUUUAGUUUUGUUUGACUUUUAAGCAAUAAUGUGUUAAUAUUUGGUAGCAGAGAGUAACAUAGUAACAUUUUAGCAUGAGUUUGAGUCAUAUAUUUAUUUAUUUUUCCUUGAUAAUUAGUUUAUGCUUAUUGGUAAUCUUGCGAAUCAACGUGGAUUGUUAGACUAUGUAUUGCAAAGUUAGUUGUUAUUAUUUUGAAGUUUAGAAAAAAAAAUUUUAUGGAUAAAAUUUUUUUUCCCAAGUAGAAGGAGAUUGUAACGGUCACGUUACGAAAGUAGCUCUUUAAUAAUUAUUAUUAUUAUUUUCCCUCGGUCUCUCAUUUAAAUUCUCGUAUAGGACCACUGAGGUGACGUCAUACCUCGGUGAUGGAACGUACUCCACCUAUCGAGAAUUAUUCGGGUUCUGAGAGAAUUUGACGUUUACCUUGGCGGAGAAACGCCUCUCGUUCUUUACUUGACUGUGAGCUGUGGUGUCGAAUAGAUAUACCAUAUAGAAUGGCGGAUGAUUUCCUCCAACUUAUUUUAUCACAUAAGAAAUUUAACGUAAAGUAAAAAGUUACCACCAGGGAUUGUCUGGAGUGAGGAGACAUGUGGGUGACAACUCCUGUUGGAGUAUAAAUAGGAAUCAUUCGCCAUUUGGGAGAAACCCUACCAUGAAGUCAUAGACCUUAUUUGACCACCUAGAGAAACCACUACAGCCACAGUCAAGUCAUCAUGGGAGUAUGUCGAUUUGGGAACAAGCUAUGGGAGCGUUCCAGCUCAAUUUUCGUCUUGGCACCUGGGCCUACAGGAGUCAUGGGGUCGCACCAUCCUGGUGCAUCAUUUUCUAGGAUGCAACCGCAACCUCGUUUGGGAACAUUUAGUGAGGUGUUGUAGUAACUAUUGUUUUUUUUUUUAUAUUUCAGACUAUCUGUUAAAUACACUGUUUUUUUUCCAGAUUUAGGUUACCUCUGGUUUUUUUUUGACAUAUUUGUAUAUUAGAUUAUUUGGUUCCCAAACUUUGUAUCUACGGUAACUUCUUGUGCACAGGAAUAAGCCUAGAGAAAAUUAGGUUUUUAAUACUUUAUUAUUGCUUUGAUAUUGGUUUAUGUAAUUCGGGUAAAUUUAUUUUUUUAAUAUUACUAGCUUGUUUCCCAAAUAUUUUACUGUUAUUCGCUUUAUUCCAUUUGUUCGGUUAAUUUAGGUCAUCGUCGGUAUUUAUCUCAACUUCAUUUCUACUUUAGUCAACUGUAUAUUUAACUUUAUUUAUUCAUUAUUGUAUUUUCCCUUAGUGAGGCUUGGGCCUAUUUCUUUGUAGUAUUUUCAUCUUUGUCAGUUUCCUUUAGUUGUACGUAGCGGGCGUACUAUAACCAUUUGGUAGAAGACUUAUGUAAUUUUGUACCCUAUAUGUUAGUGAGAGGUACUUAUACCUGUAAUUUUGUAACAGAUAACAUUAUUGUUGUUAUCUUAGAGAUAACUUUUUGUAUAACUUAUGUCAUUUUAGAGUCACAUGAUAUACACUUUGUGUAACUCAGAGAUUGUCAAAAAUCUAGUAGUUAUUUUUAAUAAAUAUGUAUUUAUUUUGUA